UGAUAACCUACCUAUUUUCUCCUGUUGGAUUUUAUUUUUUAAAUAAAUAGGAAUAAAAAGCCCUUAUGUGCGAAGACAGUCAGAGAUUCUGAAACACUGGGAGUUUGCUAAACCCAGAGCAGAGAACGUGAACUGGGAUCAGAAGACUGUACUUCACACAAGUGAACAAACAAACCAACCUUCCAAAGAGUUCAUUAACUCAAGGAACAGCUAAGAAAGCCACGGAAUAAGAAGAGGAAGUAAUCCUGGACAAGAUACAAGGGUGUGAAGAGAACUUCAAAGAACCCUGUGAGCACCAUGCACUGUCACAAGGCAGGGAUAAAGAAUAAGGAAAUGCCUGAAUAAGUUGAUGAAAGGCAGUUUCCUAUGUCACCAAGCUGACAUAGACAGCUAUGAAGGAAGUCUUUUUCCUCUCUGUGGAAUCUGACCUUGAACCCCAACACUGCAAGAGGCCACCAUGACUGAUGGAUGAUAGCAUUACUACAGAAGUGACGCUGCAGUCUAUGAUAACAGUGCUUUGCAGAGCCAAGCUCACAUCCACUUUGCUGAUAACAU
rnacentral:lncRNA from 1 species